CAACCCUCGGGCCCUCGUUUGGCCCGGUGUUGGGGCGCUACGGGUCCGCCGGACCUGUAGGCCCUCAAAAGCAGUGGCGGGCUCGCCAGGACUCCGAGCGCAGUAGUUCUCCUCUCGCUCAGGCGGCCUGGCGUGCUUCGGCCGUUAAAAGACCCAACUGUAAUCACAGAA
rnacentral:misc_RNA from 2 species